AAAAAAAAAAACGCAGCUGGUGAAACACGAUCAACACAAAUCAUUGAAGGUUAUAUAUCAUAGGCUCAUCGAAACAGCUAACUAAAAAUCAAUUUUUUUGAGAAGGUUUGCAUGUCGAAUCCGAAGAACGGUCUGUUUAAUCCAAGGUUGAUUCUGUUCGUUUCAUAUGUCUGAAGAAGUUCUGAAAAAUUAUCUCUCAAGUCUCAAGACAAAAAGAAGAAUUGGAGUUAGAGGAUCCCGAAACAUCAAUCUCUUCAGGCGGGGAUUACUUUCACUUGAAUACACCAGCUGGUUUUGAAUGAUUUCACGUCAGAAAGAAUCCAAUAAAAGUUGAACCUUGGGUGUCGAUGGGAUGAAACAUUUAUAAAUAUACAAAGAUUUGGUACAUAUAUUGUCUAAGAAUGUAAAUAAAUGUAUUUUACCAAUCGAACGUUCACGAUGCAUUAUGUCUGGAUAGGAAAUCUAUACUAUUAUUUGCGAAGUGAUU